rnacentral:rRNA from 1 species
CAUGCAGUCUCAGUACAGACUAUAUUAAAGUGAAACCGCAAAGGCUCAGUAAACCAGUUUUAAUUUACUAGAGUUAACUUGACUGUGCUUGGAUAACUGUGGUAAUUCUAGAGCUAAUACAUGCAACCAAGCCGUGACCAUUCGUGGUCAGGGCGCUUUUGUUAGACCAAGACCAAUCGCCCGGCCAGUCCGGGCGUUAAGUUGAGGAACCUAGAUAACACAGCAGAUCGCAUGGUCUCCGUACCGGCGACUUAUCUUUCAAAUGCCUGACUUAUCAACUGACGAUGGUAGACUCUGUGUCUACCAUGGCUGUUACGGGUAACGGGGAAUCAGGGUUCGAUUCCGGAGAGGGAGCCUGAGAAACGGCUACCACAUCCAAGGAAGGCAGCAGGCACGCAAAUUACCCACUCCCGGAACGGGGAGGUAGUGACAAAAAAUAACGAUACGGGACUCGAUAUGAGGCCUCGUAAUCGGAAUGAGUACACUCUAAAUCCUUUAACAAAAAUCUAUUGGAGGGCAAGUCUGGUGCCAGCAGCCGCGGUAAUUCCAGCUCCAAUAGCGUAUAUUAAAGUUGUUGCGGUUAAAAAGCUCGUAGUUGGUUCUGCGUCCCGCGCUGUCGGUACACCGUUUGUCGGUGACACUGGCAUGACGCGGGAUGUCCUGUCGGUGGCGGCGGAAACCAUAUCGCCGUCGGAUAACACCGCGGCGUGUUGGCCUUCUGUCGCCGGCUAUAUCCUACCGCGGUGCUCUUCACUGAGUGUCGAGGUAGGCCGACACGUUUACUUUGAACAAAUUAGAGUGCUUAAAGCAGGCAAAAAUCUCUGCCAGAAUAGUGGUGCAUGGAAUAAUGGAACAGGACCUUGGUUCUAUUCUGUUGGUCUCCGGAACACAAGGUAAUGAUCAAUGUGGACAGGCGGGGGCAUUCGUAUUGCGGCGUUAGAGGUGAAAUUCUUGGAUCGUCGCAAGACGCAUUAGAGCGAAAGCAAUUGCCAAGUAUGUCUUGAGCUUUCCCCGGGAAACCAAAGCUUUUGGGUUCCGGGGGAAGUAUGGUUGCAAAGCUGAAACUUAAAGGAAUUGACGGAAGGGCACCACCAGAAGUGGAGCCUGCGGCUUAAUUUGACUCAACACGGGAAACCUCACCAGGUCAGGACAUUGGAAUGAUUGACAGAUUGAUAGCUCUUUCUUGAUUCAGUGGGUAGUGGUGCAUGGCCGUUCUUAGUUGGUGGAUCGAUUUGUCUGGUUAAUUCCGAUAACGAACGAGACUCUAGCCUAUUAACUAGACGCGUUUGGUAUCGAAUCUACCGGCGAACAAUAUUCUUCUUAAGGGGACAGGCGGCUUUUAGCCGCACGAGAUUGAGCAAUAACAGGUCUGUGAUGCCCUUAGAUGUCCUGGGCCGCACGCGCGCUACACUGAAGGAAUCAGCGUGUGCGUUCCCUUGGCCGAAAGGUCCGGGUAACCCGCUGAACCUCCUUCGUGCUAGGAAUUGGGGCUUGCAAUUGUUCCCCAUGAACGAGGAAUUCCCAGUAAGCGCGAGUCAUAAGCUCGCGUUGAUUACGUCCCUGCCCUUUGUACACACCGCCCGUCGCUACUACCGAUUGAAUGAUUUAGUGAGGUCUUCGGACUGGCGGUAAGCCCAACCGACUUUGUCGGUUUUGUCGAACGCUGGAAAGAUGACCAAACUUGAUCAUUUAGAGGAAGUAAAAGUCGUAACAAGGUUUCCGUA